rnacentral:misc_RNA from 1 species
GAUGAAGAACGCAGCGAAAUGCGAUAAGUAAUGUGAAUUGCAGAAUUCAGUGAAUCAUCGAAUCUUUGAACGCACAUUGCGCCCGCCAGUAUUCUGGCGGGCAUGCCUGUUCGAGCGUCAUUACAACCCUCAGGCCCCCGGGCCUGGCGUUGGGGAUCGGCGGAGCCCCCCGUGGGCACACGCCGUCCCCCAAAUGCAGUGGCGGUCCCGCCGCAGCUUCCAUCGCGUAGUAGCUAACACCUCGCGACUGGAGAGCGGCGCGGCCACGCCGUAAAACACCCAACUCUUCUGAAGUUGACCUCGAAUCAGGUAGGAAUACCCGCUGAACUUAAGCAUAUCAAAAGCGGAGGA